rnacentral:lncRNA from 1 species
GACUGCCCCCAGGCCCUAUGACCGACUCACACUGAGGAUUGAACCCAGAGCUUCUCACAUGCCAGGUAACCACACUAUAAGACUCUCAGCCCCACCAUCUGCCACUUCAAUUACCUGAAAGGCAAGGACAACCCCUCCUGUUAACACUGAGCACCACUCCUCUGCUACUACUUGCAAGCACUAAGCUGACCUGCCCUCAGAAAAAAUGGGGGAAAACCCGUUUCUCAUUGUGAUCUGUAAUGGCUGCCUAGAAGAGCAAGCCACUGUGAUGUCAGUUUCAAUACCUUCCCAAGAUAAAGAUGGUGAAAGAAUGGAAUACAAUCAUGGAGAGAGACUUAGGUGGAGUUUCCAGAGGCAGACAAUAU